CGCCAGAAGUGGGGGUACCGCUGGCGCAGGCCGCGGUUGAGACAGUCCCUUGGAACCUGAUCCGGUUGAGACCGGCGUAGGGAAGCUUCGCAAGUCCGCUG
rnacentral:ncRNA from 2 species